rnacentral:misc_RNA from 1 species
GAUGAAGAACGUAGUGAAAUGCGAUAAGUAGUGUGAAUUGCAGAAUUCAGUGAAUCAUCGAAUCUUUGAACGCACAUUGCGCCUUCUAGUAUUCUGGGAGGCAUGCCUGUUUGAGCGUCAUUAAACCUCUCUCAAGUAUGAUUACUUGGAUGUGAAGGAAGAGUACCUUAAACUUAAGGAGUGUUCUCCUUUGAAAUUGAUUAGCAGAUGGUAAUGUUAUUAAAUCCCUGAUGUUGUAAGAAAUAACAGUGGUUUUGUAGACUAUUAUCUAGCUUUAAAUUAUAAUUUUUAUUAAGGUUGACCUCAAAGCAGGUAAGGAUACCCGCUGAAUUUAAGCAUAUCAAUAAGCGGAGGA